rnacentral:rRNA from 1 species
GUUGCUCGUAGGAUCUGACUGACACGCCCUUCUUUGGUUGCAGCGGGGAGGGAUGAGCAGGCGCUGGAGCAGGACGAUCUAUGUUGGCAACCUCCCUGGGGAUAUCCGGGAGAGGGAGGUGGAGGACCUCUUCUACAAGUAUGGCCGUAUUGUUGAUAUUGACCUGAAGGUUCCUCCAAGGCCGCCUGGCUAUGCUUUUGUUGAGUUUGAAGAUCCUCGUGACGCCGAAGAUGCCUGUGCUGGAAGGGAUGGGUACAACUUCGAUGGAAAUCGUCUAAGAGUGGAACCUGCUCAUGGUGGGAGAGGUAGUGGUGGCCCCUCUCAUGAUCGUUCUAGCAGCUUUGGUGGUGGUGGCGGCGGCAGUGGUGGCGGACGCCGGGGUGUCUCCAGGCACACGGAUUACCGUGUUCUGGUUACUGGCCUGCCUUCUUCUGCGUCCUGGCAAGAUUUAAAGGACCAUAUGCGAAGGGCUGGUGAUGUUUGUUUCGCAGAAGUGUAUCGUGAAGGCGGCGGCACCAUAGGAAUUGUGGACUACACAAACUAUGAUGAUAUGAAAUAUGCUGUAAGUCUGUAUUAAUCUGUUUUAUUGUAUCCUUUCUAAUUCAUUUGUUAUUUGUAUCAUGGUUCUCAUCCAAUGACCAUUGCUGGUACUAAUUUGGAUGCCUGAAAAUACCUAACUAUUGCACUGUAUAGGAAUCUUUUAUACUGUUACUGUGUUAUACUAAUUAGUAGUUCUUGUCGUUCUCUUUCUGUGUUUUUUAUUUCUAAUUACACCGUCUUAGCCGUUGACUAUCGCUUGCAGAUAAAGAAACUGGAUGACACUGAAUUCAAGAAUGCAUCUACUACCACUAUAAAAGAAAGAGAGGGGCAGAUCCAAACAAUCCCACCCAUCCAUCAUCAAGAUCUAAUGGCCCUUAAUCAUUCUGUGUUUAACGCUACCAACCACGCCCUUAAUCGAUCGGUAACCCACCCCGCCGUUGAAAAAAAAAGAAAACCGUACGCACGAUCUCUCGCCCCGUCCGCAGGACCUCUCGCCCCAUCCUUCUCCUCCCACGCCGUUCGCCGCCCGCGGCACGCGAGAGCCGCCCUUCGCUGCGGGAGCCGCCGCAGGUCGCCGCCCGUCGCGCCCUUCGCCGCGGGAGAAAUGGAGCCGCCGCCCGUCGCUUGCCGCGGGAGCCGCCGCAGGUUGCCGCCUGUCACGUCCUUCGCCUUGUCGCGCCCUUCGCCGCGGGAGAGCCGGAGCAGCCGCCCGUCGCGCGCCGGGGGAGCCUCCUCAGGUCGCCGCGGUAGAGCCGGAGUCGCCGCGAUCGUGAGCAGCCGCCCGCCGUCCUCCCCUACGCGGUCGAACCUUCCUUCGGCCCCUCCUCGCGCCGCCCCUCUCCUUUGCCCCGGCCGUCAAGACCCCGCGGUCGCUUCACCGGGUUGCGGCACCGCCCCAUCCUUGAGGUGGGAUGACCAAAUCCAGAAUCGCCUUACCUAACGGGGAUGGACUGGAGAUUUGCAUCCAAUCAGCCAAUCAGGCCUCCCACAUCUCCACUAAGUGCAUCUGAACACAUGACUUCUUGCACGGUAUGUGUUCGACGAUUUUUCUCUGAAGGCACAAGUUGCUGCUAUGUUGAUUCAACCUUUGGGUAGCAUUCUGAUUAAAGUGAUUUGGUUUCUUUUUUCAACCUUUGGGUUGUAUUCUGAUGGAAGUGAUUUUGUUCUUCCAAUCUAUGUGUAGAAUGUUCUGUUUGUGGAGCAAGUAGGCGAACCAUUGGAGCGACGUGAUACUCCAUAUUGGCAUAAUCCCACUAAAUAGCAUGGUUAAUGAUUCCGAUUUUAGCAUCUAAUAAUUUUUCCAAUUACUUACAACUCUUAUUCAUAUAUGGUUAUUUGCUGUAAUGUACAGAACAUUUUUCAUAUAUCAUGACCCUUUGCAGUGUUUAUUUGGAACACAAGAUUCCUAAUUUUUGGACCUGUACACAACCAGAUUUUGGGGAUUUAUAAUGUGAGUGAGUUAUUAUGUUACUUGAAUCGGUGUACGUAACCUGGUUUUGUUGGGGCUUGGUUUUCAGUGAUUCCAACAGGUCAGUGACUUUCCACGCUCUCAGACAACAACAUUCUUAAUUCAAACGGUGAUGUGAUUUUAUCCAUAUGAAUAUUGUGUUAUCGUUUGUUUUAAUUCAAGUGAUAUUACACAUGUAGCUUGCUGGGUAUAUUUUACAUAUUCACUUUUGGAAAUUUCUUAGAGAUUAUGGAUGACAGCAGACAACAUUGCAGAUACGUUGCAGCUGGGCACCCUGAUCAGGAAAUCUGGUCCAAGCCCCACUACAGUUUUAUAUAAGGAUGUUGGAGGCAGCAUCGGAAGAGAUAAGUCUGCGGGAAUCUUGUCCAAACUCCACAUCGCUGUCACCGAACAAAGUUGGAGGUACAAUUGAAAGAGACCAGCCAGAUUCUUGUUCCGGGUAUUAAAAAGAAAACCUGGCUAGAGAUUUCAUGCCAUGUCAUUCCAUUUAUGUUUGCUUGUGUGCUUAUCAUAUCUGAUUACAUGAUUGACAUUUAUUUCAUAAUUAGUAUAUACUUUGACACAUGAUAUGUUUUGCUUUAUUUAUGAACAACAGGAUACGUUUACUUUUUGUGAUCAUAUAAGUGAACAAACAUAGCCAAUGGUUAAAGUUUAUAUCUACUAUGUAUGUAUAUUUUUCAUUCACACAUGUCUCACUGCCUUUUAAGCACUUAAGAGAGCAGAACUGGAGAUUGCUCUCAUUAAAUGUGAACAAAAUUGAUGUUCUUUUUUUUGCAAAAUAGUAAAUACUGUGUUCUCUUGAUUGUUUUUUGUCUUUUCAGUUUACCUGAAUCUAAGAAGUCCGACCAUCAAUUAAUGAGAGAUUUUUGCUUCUAUCAUUCAUGGAACCAUUGAAAUGAAAUACAUACCUUGGCUCAACCAAUACUUCACAAUCUUUUUGCCCAAAGCAAACAGUAUCAUUAUUUAUAUGUUCUAAAUUAAAAUAUUUUCGCUUGUGUGCUCAAUUAAAAUUUUACCGCUUAAAGGAAAAGAAACCAUUUUUAUCACUCCUACAGUUCACAGGGAGAGAGAACAAGAAAGAAAACCUUUCACCAAAAUCUUGUCUUCCUACUUACUUUUACUUACCAAGAAGAAUCAACAAUAAUUGAAUCUUUUAAGAAAAUGGAUAAAAGAUCAUUUUUAGUUAGUAAUGUACAACUCCCAACUUGUCUCUUUUACUUCUUUUUCUGUGCAUGUGCACCCUGUUGAAUGGUGUUGUACUUGUACAUAAUGGAAUUGCAAGCAAAACAAUGUUAUGGAUGGUCUACAAGAUUAUCUGGAUGAAUUCAUCUCCAGGGUAAAAGAAGGUGAAGGAAUAUGAUGGCAAACGUGGGCGCUCCUACUCACGUAGCCGGAGCCCAAGUCGUAGCCGCAGCAAAAGCAGGAGCCCAAGCAAAUCUCCCAGGGCCCGCUCAGCAUCUAGGUCCAGAUCAAGGUCUCUUUCUUCCCGUUCUUGUUCAGCAUCAAAAGGACGUUCUCCAUCAAGAUCACCAGCAAGAUCCAAAUCCCCAAUUGCUUCUCCGGCAAACGGUGUAGUGGCAAGUCCAGCGGCAAGCCUGAAGAAACGCAGUCCAAGCAGGAGUCCAUCUCGUUCACGGUCACUUGAUGCGAAAUCUGAAUAGAAGCACUGCACCGGGGCAGAUGAGGCGUGUGCUCAGGUCUAGAUAUUUGUUGUCCUCUAUGCUUCUUGAGAAUUACCUGGAUGUCAGCAACUGUCCAAUGAGGCUCCUUUAUUGUAUGAACAGUGUCAACUUGUAUUGCUGAAGACAUCGAACUUGAGCACUAUCAUAUGCGAUGCCUGCAGCCAGUCUUUCAUUCAACUAGUACUUUGUCUGUUAAAUGUUAUUUCGUGGAUUCUGUUCAAAAAUUCAUGCAAGACGUUUGUGUAUUCC